UUGAUUCAUUUUUCUUGUGAGACUCAGAAUAUGCCACUAUGGUUAAACAAGAGUUUAAGGGUCCCCGGCGGCCGCUGGUCCAGUCCGCGUCCGGCUGGGGCGAGUCCGCCGAAGCAACAAUAGGUAGGUUCACAUAAGGGUUAGGGAGUUGAAAACUCGGUAAUGAUCCCUCCGCUGGUUCACCAACGGAGA
rnacentral:misc_RNA from 1 species